rnacentral:rRNA from 1 species
CACGUAGGGUGCGAGCGUUGUCCGGAAUUAUUGGGCGUAAAGAGCUCGUAGGCGGUGUGUCGCGUCGGCCGUGAAAACCUGCAGCUUAACUGUGGGCUUGCGGUCGAUACGGGCAUCACUGGAGUUCGGCAGGGGAGACUGGAAUUCCUGGUGUAGCGGUGAAAUGCGCAGAUAUCAGGAGGAACACCGGUGGCGAAGGCGGGUCUCUGGGCCGAUACUUACGCUGAGGAGCGAAAGCGUGGGGAGCGAACAGG